rnacentral:tRNA from 1 species
GGGGGAUUAGCUCAGGGGCAGAGCGAUCGCUUCGCAUGCGAUAGGUCGCGAGUUCGAUUCUUGCAUCCUCCA